GGGAAGUGCGGGCAGCUAACACAUGCAAGUCGAGCGGUAGCACAGAGAGCUUGCUCUCGGGUGACGAGCGGCGGACGGGUGAGUAAUGUCUGGGAAACUGCCUGAUGGAGGGGGAUAACUACUGGAAACGGUAGCUAAUACCGCAUAACGUCGCAAGACCAAAGUGGGGGACCUUCGGGCCUCAUGCCAUCAGAUGUGCCCAGAUGGGAUUAGCUAGUAGGUGGGGUAAUGGCUCACCUAGGCGACGAUCCCUAGCUGGUCUGAGAGGAUGACCAGCCACACUGGAACUGAGACACGGUCCAGACUCCUACGGGAGGCAGCAGUGGGGAAUAUUGCACAAUGGGCGCAAGCCUGAUGCAGCCAUGCCGCGUGUAUGAAGAAGGCCUUCGGGUUGUAAAGUACUUUCAGCGAGGAGGAAGGCGUUAAGGUUAAUAACCUUAGCGAUUGACGUUACUCGCAGAAGAAGCACCGGCUAACUCCGUGCCAGCAGCCGCGGUAAUACGGAGGGUGCAAGCGUUAAUCGGAAUUACUGGGCGUAAAGCGCACGCAGGCGGUCUGUCAAGUCGGAUGUGAAAUCCCCGGGCUCAACCUGGGAACUGCAUUCGAAACUGGCAGGCUAGAGUCUUGUAGAGGGGGGUAGAAUUCCAGGUGUAGCGGUGAAAUGCGUAGAGAUCUGGAGGAAUACCGGUGGCGAAGGCGGCCCCCUGGACAAAGACUGACGCUCAGGUGCGAAAGCGUGGGGAGCAAACAGGAUUAGAUACCCUGGUAGUCCACGCCGUAAACGAUGUCGACUUGGAGGUUGUGCCCUUGAGGCGUGGCUUCCGGAGCUAACGCGUUAAGUCGACCGCCUGGGGAGUACGGCCGCAAGGUUAAAACUCAAAUGAAUUGACGGGGGCCCGCACAAGCGGUGGAGCAUGUGGUUUAAUUCGAUGCAACGCGAAGAACCUUACCUACUCUUGACAUCCAGAGAACUUAGCAGAGAUGCUUUGGUGCCUUCGGGAACUCUGAGACAGGUGCUGCAUGGCUGUCGUCAGCUCGUGUUGUGAAAUGUUGGGUUAAGUCCCGCAACGAGCGCAACCCUUAUCCUUUGUUGCCAGCGGUCCGGCCGGGAACUCAAAGGAGACUGCCAGUGAUAAACUGGAGGAAGGUGGGGAUGACGUCAAGUCAUCAUGGCCCUUACGAGUAGGGCUACACACGUGCUACAAUGGCAUAUACAAAGAGAAGCGACCUCGCGAGAGCAAGCGGACCUCAUAAAGUAUGUCGUAGUCCGGAUUGGAGUCUGCAACUCGACUCCAUGAAGUCGGAAUCGCUAGUAAUCGUAGAUCAGAAUGCUACGGUGAAUACGUUCCCGGGCCUUGUACACACCGCCCGUCACACCAUGGGAGUGGGUUGCAAAAGAAGUAGGUAGCUUAACCUUCGGGAGGGCGCUUACCACCUUGGAUCCGGGG
rnacentral:rRNA from 1 species